CUGACUUUAGAUCACAUGACUGCUGAUCAACACCUUACACUUUGCAGGUGAGGAAACUGAGGAAUGGUGGACUCCAAGAGGCCCCCGAAUCACACAGCUAGAGAAUGACUGAGCUCUAGGGUCCAUCAAGGGAUCCUGGGAAGAAGUCUUAUUAGUUUAGUUCCAGUACUUAUUAAAAACAUGACCAUGAUCAAGGCUCUGUGGUGCACCUGGUUCCUUUUCUACAUGAUCUUCAGUCUCGGUUCCUCUCUGAGGAAAGGCUUGUUACUCCUAUUUUAUGCACAGAAAUAAUUCUGGUUCAAAGAAGAUUUUUACACAGCCAAUGCAUGCUUCAUACCAGUUGCUUCAACUCACCUACAAGACGCCAGAGAGAAGGGCCAGCGAUGCUUCACCACUGUCUGCUCAACUUCCAGUCCCAUGUCUGGAUUACAGUUUGCUUCAUCCCACUUCAGCACUCUUCAGGAAUGAAGAGGGCCAACUGGAACUGAUCCGGAACUGGUAAAUUGGGUAAAGGCUCAGACUGCCCAGGGGCCAGUAGCUUAAGCAGAUGGUAGACCAGUCAACUGGCAGUGGCCACCUUGGUGCCACCUUCUCUCCCAUCAAAUAAAGAACAGGGCUGCUCAACCUCCCCGGAAUUAACUCAGUCAUCUACAAAUUCAUCUCUUUCUUGACGGUCCGCCCAUACAUUUUCUUGGUGAGUCAGUUAUAACAGUCAUUAAGAAUUUGAACUUGAAGGUCAGAUAGAACUUGUUUCAAAUUCUAAUUCUGAGCCUUCUUGCUAUGAUACUUUGGGAAAAUUCUGUACUUUUUUCUGAGCCUGAUUAGUAAAAGGAUGAUAGUAAAAGUUACCUCACAUCAUUGUUAGAGGAUUGGGUUGAAUAAUGAAUCAGGGUUAAGCAUAAUGUUGGCCAGAGGUAAGGACUGUGAAAAUAACAGGUGUCGCCCAUUGUCCUCGUUCUCUCUCCACAUUCUCCAAGUUCCCUUCUCCUUCUUUGUCACCAAAGAGGAGUCAUUUAAAAGUACCACAUUAUCUCCUGUAUCCUUCAUCCAGAAUCUUCCCAUCUCACUUCUACCUACAAGAUAUUUCUCCCUCUAACAUAUAGAAAAAUAAAGCUGAAUCCGGAGUCCAUCCCAACGUUGUAUACACACACAACCAUGAAGAGGUAUCCCCUCUUGAAGGCUAUACAAUUUAUACACAGAAGGCCAGAGACCGGUGGAAGCAGGUCUGCGAAGAAUAAAGACAAUGGCAGUUUUGCUUAUGGAAAUAUAUUAAAGGGGAAUGAGGGAAGGAAUGCCGAGAUAAGGCCAUGUACCCAUGCCUCUGAGUCAGGAGCAGAUUGAGUGGCAGGGAGGGCCAGCCUGCCAGGCAGGCCGACAGGUUCCCCUCACUAGCCCCCGUGUCACAUCGUUCAAGGUGCGUGGCAGGACUGCGUGGAGACAGCAUGUCCUCUGUGGCACACCAACCCCCAGGCAGGGUAACACCUGCCUUGGGCUGCCACAUGGUGGUGUAAGUAAGAGUCUGGAACAAGUUAUCUCCCUGGCCGGGAGCCCAGGGUGCUUUGCUUCCAACUACUGACCUCCCAGCAGGAGGCUGCAUGCAGAAUGCUCAUGAUCAAGUGGCAGAAGACCUGGCGGGGAAGGUGGGGUGCGGAAAGGAGGGAGGAGUUAUUCUCUUUUAAUCUGUUGCCUGCCCUGGUCCUGCCCUCUUCUGCUACUCUCUUUUGCCGCUCUUCUUUGAGUCAGUUACCAAGGGAGAAUAGAGUUCCUUUGAUUCCAGGGAGGAAUGUAAAAGCUGUCACUUUUAAAAGUGGGAAGAGGGCUGUAAUCCCAGGCACUCGGGAGUCUGAGGCGGGGGCGGGGAUCAAAAGUUUGAGAUCAGCUUCCGCAACUUGUCUCAAAACAACAACAGCAGCAACAACAACAAUCCAACAACAACAACAACAACAAAAUAUGUAGCUCGGUAUUCAGUGGUAGCUCAGUGGGGAAGCACCCCACUGAGGGAUAUGGAUAUCCAGUGCUGACUUAAAAAAAAAAAAAAAUAGCAGGAGGUGGGAGAUAAAAAGGCAAUCGGUUCUUGAAGGAUAAUUCUAUUUUGGAAACUUCUCUUAUUAGAGCUUUCACUGUGUGAAAGCAAAUUUGCCAGUCAUUUUUCAGUGUCCUCUCCCCUCCUCCAACUCUCUUUCUCAGAGGCUUCUUCCUCAAGAUGCCCAUUUCCCCUUGUCCUCCCUGAGGGAAGCUGUGAGGGAGGUUACCUGCAAGAGCCCUGGUCCCAUUGACACAGGUCUGGCAGAGAAGAGAAUGCAUGAUCACAAAUAAGUACAUAUUUCAGAGCUAGCUGGACUCUCCUUGCCCUUUUAGAUCCAGAUAAGAUUGGUUUGAACCUCCAUCCUGGGACCUACAGAAAGUCCAGUACCUUCCCCCAGUUUGGGGAAAACUUCCAGUGGCGGGUGUUAUGUUAUUGAGAUCACUCUGGCUCAGAGCUUCUCAUUUCACCCAAUCAGUUGAGUCAAAUUCAUGGGUCAUCACCCAGCUCCAGCACACCUACCCUGUCCUUGCCAUAAUGGGAACCUCAAUCGCCUCAUUUGAUUUCUAAUAAAAAAGCAAGAAAAAAUAUGCAAUUUCAUUUGCACAAAGCCUUUGUGUGGACAUAAAUGUUUUCAGAGAGGAGAAAGUA